rnacentral:rRNA from 1 species
GAUGAACGCUGGCGGCGUGCCCAAUACAUGCAAGUCGAGCGAACAGACGAGGAGCUUGCUCCUCUGACGUUAGCGGCGGACGGGUGAGUAACACGUGGAUAACCUACCUAUAAGACUGGGAUAACUUCGGGAAACCGGAGCUAAUACCGGAUAAUAUAUUGAACCGCAUGGUUCAAUAGUGAAAGACGGUUUUGCUGUCACUUAUAGAUGGAUCCGCGCCGCAUUAGCUAGUUGGUAAGGUAACGGCUUACCAAGGCAACGAUGGGUAUCCGACCUGAGAGGGUGAUCGGCCAAACUGGAACUGAGACACGGUCCAGACUCCUACGGGAGGCAGCAGUAGGGAAUCUUCCGCAAUGGGCGAAAGCCUGACGGAGCAACGCCGCGUGAGUGAUGAAGGUCUUCGGAUCGUAAAACUCUGUUAUUAGGGAAGAACAAAUGUGUAAGUAACUAUGCACGUCUUGACGGUACCUAAUCAGAAAGCCACGGCUAACUACGUG